GUAUCCCUUCUGUAGCACAGGUAUUAAAACUUGGAACAACACAGAUACCCACAUGGCCUCUGUGUGAGGACAAUACACAAGUUCAUGAAGUGUUCCAUAUUUUA
rnacentral:snRNA from 1 species